rnacentral:lncRNA from 1 species
GUCAUUAGGCUUGUCAGCAGGCUCCUACCUGCUUGGCCACCUCACUGUCCCAACCCGGACUUGUUUUUAAGCUAUAUUGACCGGCCAGCAAAUCGGUCUCUUCAGCACGGAGUUGCACUCUGCUCUUUGACGUGCACUGCUGGGGCUUGAACUCAGGGCCUCACGAUUACAUGAGGCACUUUAACCACUGAGCCAUCUGCCCUGUCCUAUUCCCAUUUAUUUUGGGAAUGACCUUACUUAGCCAAUUACAUUCCCAAUAAUCCAACUUCCCAGUGGGUCCCCUAUUUGUGAGUUCAGAGGUCAGGAUUCUUCAGCCUGUGACAGGCAGAAGAUGGCUUGGUGUUAGAACAAGUUUGAAACAAGUUCAGUUUGAAACCCUGUUGAGAAGAAGCUGGGACUUGGGGCCAGCAGGAUAUAGACCAACCUGACAGUGACAAGAGGUGGCGUCUUUCCUUUAUCCCUUUCCAGGCUUCGUGGAAGACCUCAGCAGGAAAUAUCACUUUGAAUGCUGUAGCCAAGAGCAGUGCCAGGAAUGGAUGGAGGCUCUGCAGCGGGCCAGGUGGGGCUUUAGGGACUGCUGGGAGCUGGGUGGAAACAUGGGGGAAUGUGACCAGUGAGCCCAGCCCUUUCCUCCAGCUACGAAUACAUGAGACGGAGCCUCAUCUUCUACAGGAAUGAGAUCAGGAAGAUGACCGGCAAGAUGCCAGGGGACCCAGAUUGGGCCAACCCCACGUCACCUGACCAGCAUGCCCGAGCCAGAAAAGCAAAGAAUUACAAAGUAAAUGCACUUGUCACAGGAGCCACUGAGCCCUGCAGUAGUGGCCCUCACCUGUCAGCACCACUCAGCCCAGCUGGGAACCCCCAUUCCUGCCCCAGCCUAGUCCACACCCACUGCAAAGGCACGCCCGAAGCCACAGGAUUAACAGUGGGGUAUUCACAGUGACAGCAGGCAAGUUCCAAGGAGGGAGACUGGAGAUCAGCCCCCAUCGAGCAUGCCAGGCGUGCCUUUGGCGUCAGAACAAGGUGUUGGGGGCACAUCUGAGAACUGUUUGGCCACAGUCCACGUUUGGGGCAGCACCAGGGCAGAGGUGGGUCUGGGCAGGCCUGGGCUUGCUGGUGAGAUAGCACCGGGACGGAGUCAGACAUCCUCAUGGUGGCCAGCCCAGCAGGCCAAGUCUUCAUAUUAUUCUCUCUCACAGACACUUAGACGUCUCAAGAGGUUGCCUUGGACGACUUUGAUGGAAUAAAGUAAGAAUUGCUUAUACUUUAAAAAAAAAAAAAAACG